rnacentral:misc_RNA from 1 species
GGGGGGGGGGUGGUUGUUGGCUUGAGAGAGAGAAAAACAGGGUUAUUUUUACUGGUUCUUGAAUAGAUAAGCACCUAUUUCCUAAAUUCCUACCAAUAAUAAGCUAGAGCAUAUAAACUAUUAGCUGGUUUUACAUGAUAACCUAUGACAAUAUACUAAAUAGUCAAGAUAAGCUAAAUGACACUUAAAGAAAGGGAGAAAAAGAGUACCAUAAUUUGCUCAGUAUUCUGUAA